rnacentral:miRNA from 1 species
AAUAUCUUCUUACCAAAAAGUGCAAAGGUAAGGAGAUACGUUCUGCGCAUGCGCAGCCCUAUCUCCUUAAAUACGCAUAAUUUGUUAAAAGGAUAUUAAGCAAAGUUGUAGCCCUCAUCAACACGAACAACUUUUAUUAACAUCUUCUUACCAAAAAGUGCAAAGGUAAGCAGAUACGUUCUGCGCAUGCGCAGCCCUAUCUCCUUAAAUACGCAUAAUUUGUUAAAAGGAUAUU